UGGGGGGGCAGUUGAUUUGCGUGCCAGUGACAAUUGUAUUCUCAGCCAGUCCCACAGCAGCCAGCAGCCCUGGAGCUGGGAAGGCCCUGCAGAGCUGUAAGGGGCCUGGUUUAUACCCCAGCACCCAGCAGUCAUUCUAGGUGGGAUUCCGGGCUCCCUUAUGUAGCCUCAGGCAAGAUGUCUCUCCUCAGCUGAAGGCAAGCAGGCCUCAGGGAAGGACCAGCUGACUGCUGCUCGCCAUCAGCACUCCCCACAGCUGGGGAAAGAGGAUCUCAGUCCUGGAGGGGAUCUGGCAGCACGCCAAAGCAUCCAUUGCAGCCCUCGUCCGUGGCGUCUAAAUGAUGCAGGCGCAUGAGAUCGCACACAUUGAUCCGUUUCCUUCACGCAAGUCUGCUAAUGGCCGAUCUCCUCUUGAAGUGGUCAAAUUCUAAGACUAGACAUGAAAAGAAAAGUAUGAGGUAUCACAGUUACCCUCUCAAAUCCUAGUGAGAUGCUCCUGCCCAGAGAGGCCACGGGAAUGGAAACCAACUGAAGGAACAGAGCCAGGAAGAGCUGCGUGUUCGAGGGGGAGAUGGACACACGAUAAACAUGGAGCACGACAAAUAACGAUAAACACGGAGCAGUGGAGACCAGGUCCACCGAUCCCCAGACUGAGCCGGAUGCUAAGGUCACGUUAGGCAUGGUGAAUUGGCUCCCCCCCAGCGGCCUGUCAUCCCCCCGCACCCUGCGGAAGAGCUGACACACACGUGGGCGUGCACAGACACACUUAAGAUCCUGUGAGAGGGCUCAUAUUGCCAAAUGUUCUUCAGUCACCAUGUGUAGCUGUUGUGAUCACCAUGGUAAUUGACGAGUCUAUCUGGAACAGAUGAUACAGAGAUGCAAGGAAAUGGGUGCUGGACGCUCCCAGGAAUGGCCCGUUGGUAUUUCCUAUGGAGGAGAAGCUCUGGAUGACAUCGUUAAUUUCCUUUUUCUCUUACCUAAGCACCUCUGUUGCUCGAACCCUCUCUACACUCCUUCGCCGAGGCUGCACAGCCCCCAGAUCUUCACAAUGUUUUGAUGCAGUUGCCUUUUGAACUAAGGACCAGGGCAAGAGACGCGGGGAAGAGUUUCCCAGGGGCUCGAAUGGUGUUGGUCACGGAGCCGACGUCCAGAGUGAUGGGUGUGUUGUCAGUCUGAGCACCGGGUCCUGAGGGACAGGAUUCACUCAGGCACCUGCGUGAUGAUGACUAUUUACUUACGACUUACUCAUGUGAUAUGCAGGGCCUGCAGAGCUGAGAGCAGAGACCCUGUUGCUUGGGUCUGAGCCUGAAACAGAUGAUAUGCAUGAAAGGUUCCUUUUUGAGCUGCUUUUCUUUUUGGCUCCAGGAGAAGAAUGAUCUAGAGUCUCCCUAAAGAAAGGAGAAGAAGGAGGAGGACACAGAAAGGAUGGUUUGAGACCAGUGUCCUGCCUCACCUUGUCUCUUGGACCAGUUUAUAGCCCUGAUGCAGGAGGGCACAGCUUGAAGCUGAGGGAGCUGUUUUCCUGAGCUCCACAGCACUGCUUGGGGAUUCAGAGGACCAGGGAAGCACUGAGCGGUGUGCUUUCUUCUUGCACUCGUAGGGCUUCCCUGAUCCAUCAAGAACCAGUCGUGUUGACAGCCCCACUGUCACAGACAUUGGGCUUUUCUUGGAGGACAUCAGCCACAGUGGCAGCAAAGAAGCACUUCUCAAAGGACAGCAGCUCCCUUCAGUUGGAGGUUGUUGAAGACAUGCAAGCCUUAUCUCAGAGCCUUCAAGGACUCCCAGACAGAGGGCUAGUGUGGGUGGGUUUUGUAGGGGAACCCGGAGGUCCUAAGGUGGGGCACCUCACUAUCCACAUUUGUAUUAUUAAUUUCAAUGUGACCAUAUCCCCGGGAUGGUGAAGCGUGGGCCAUUCAGAUGGUAUUGACUAAUAGAACGUUCAGCAGGCGCUGCUUUAAGCAUCUUAAGAAGCAGACGUCCGCCCCGCAUGCGGGGAGCUGUGACUAUCCCUUCCCCUUGGAGAUCCAGGAGCGGGAUUUGCAUUGGAGAUUAAUGUUUGUACCAUUCACUUGAAGCCUUGGGUGACACCUGAAAAAAAAAGGUUAGGUCUGUGAGUUGGAGGCCAAUUUUCCAAGAAAAGAUACUGGUUGCACAAGGGGAAAACUCAGCUCAGGAGAAUGACUAUGUGAGGAGCAAAAAGGUCAAAUAGUGAGAGAAAAAAUGACAUUUGAGUUCCAGGAAGAACCUUACAGAAACAGGGAGAGAAAGAGUUGUCUGCGGGGAGUGAAGGUAUCUUGAG
rnacentral:lncRNA from 1 species